rnacentral:rRNA from 1 species
AUUGAACGCUGGCGGCAGGCCUAACACAUGCAAGUCGAACGGUAACAGGAAGAAGCUUGCUUCUUUGCUGACGAGUGGCGGACGGGUGAGUAAUGUCUGGGAAACUGCCUGAUGGAGGGGGAUAACUACUGGAAACGGUAGCUAAUACCGCAUAACGUCGCAAGACCAAAGAGGGGGACCUUCGGGCCUCUUGCCAUCGGAUGUGCCCAGAUGGGAUUAGCUAGUAGGUGGGGUAACGGCUCACCUAGGCGACGAUCCCUAGCUGGUCUGAGAGGAUGACCAGCCACACUGGAACUGAGACACGGUCCAGACUCCUACGGGAGGCAGCAGUGGGGAAUAUUGCACAAUGGGCGCAAGCCUGAUGCAGCCAUGCCGCGUGUAUGAAGAAGGCCUUCGGGUUGUAAAGUUCUUUCAGCGGGGAGGAAGGGAGUAAAGUUAAUACCUGUGCUCAUUGACGGUACCCGCAGAAGAAGCACCGGCUAACUCCGUG